AACGCUCUCAUGCCUACUCUUGUAUCCAGAGAUACUUAAGCGUCUAACAACUCUUGAGGAGGAUUCAUGCAGUGACACAGACGAAUCUGCCAGCUGGUUUUGCUUAAUAUGCAAAUAUCUUGGUGGCCAAGGCUUGGAAAGUUUAACCAGUCAUCUCUCUAGUCAAAAACAUUCACUUGAGGCACCAACAUCUGUAUAAGGCAAAUGAGAUUUAUAUUUGUAGAAGAAACAUCAAGGAUCACAAGCAUGGAUCUUUGCUUUCUACAACAACAA